rnacentral:rRNA from 1 species
UCGAGGAUCUUCGGCAAUGGGCGCAAGCCUGACCGAGCGACGCCGCGUGUGCGAUGAAGGCCUUCGGGUUGUAAAGCACUGUCGAGGGGGAGGAAGGCCCGCAAGGGCUUGACCGACCCCUGGAGGAAGCACGGGCUAAGUUCGUGCCAGCAGCCGCGGUAAGACGAACCGUGCGAACGUUGUUCGGAUUCACUGGGCUUAAAGGGCGCGUAGGCGGGCACGCCAGUCAGGGGUGAAAUCCUCCGGCUCAACCGGAGAAGGGCCUUUGAUACUGCGUGCCUCGAGGGGGGUAGGGGCGUGUGGAACUUCGGGUGGAGCGGUGAAAUGCGUAGAGAUCCGAAGGAACGCCGGUGGCGAAAGCGACGCGCUGGACCCCCACUGACGCUGAGGCGCGAAAGCCAGGGGAGCGAACGG